CUAUCUAUCUCUCCAUCUAUCUAUCAAUAAAGUAUCUAUCUAUCUAUCUAUCUAUCUAUGCUGCUCCUUUGUGAGAGCAGUGUUUCAAUUUUUAGGAAGCACUCACUGAUUUUUUACUUAUGACAUAAUAUGACAUAAUGUCACGUGACUUG